GGUAAUAUGACGCUCCAGUUCUGAAGGUUCAUCCGUCUUAGAACUACUCUAAAUUUAGUAUGCGUAACUCUUUUAAUUAUUUAGACUUAACCACUGUCUAAAAUACUAUAGUUAGAUUAAAAAAUUUAGUUACAUUAUAGCUUCUGUAAAAAAAUAUUUCAAAUUUUAGGAGUGUCGUAUUCUUUUUCUCUCCAAGUCGUGACUUCUCGUAAGGCUCAAACACACUGACAAAUAUUACUCUAACAUUGUCUCAUUAGCAUUAGUCAAUUUUGUAGGGAGCCGCGUUUCACCCACAACGGUCGUUAGUCCAGUUACUGUAUGAUUCUAACUUAGCCAAUACUCAUUUCGUACUUCUAACUGAAGAUUGGCUUUAGUAACAACUAUAAUGCCCCACUUUUCAGGACUCGCCCAUCUUAGACCUCUUCUAAUCCUAUCACGUUGAACCUCUUAAUAUCUUGAGGCUAGCUACCACUCAAAAUAUUUUAGCCCCUAUUAUAAUUUAUAUAUAAAGUUAUUCUAAAUUCUAGGUUGCCACAGUAAAGUGU
rnacentral:lncRNA from 1 species